CCAGGCAGCCGCGGUAAUACGUAGGGUKGCGAGCGUUAAUCGGAAAUUACUGGGCGUAAAGCGUGCGCAGGGCGGGCUUUUAAGCCAGACGUGAAAUCCCCCGGGCUCAACCUGGGAAUGGCGUUUGGUACUGGAAGUCUGGAGUGCGGCAGAGGAGACUGGAAUUCCUGGUGUAGCAGUGAAAUGCGUAGAUAUCAGGAGGAACACCGAUGGCGAAGGCAGGUCUCUGGGCUGACACUGACGCUCAUGCACGAAAGCGUGGGGAGCAAACAGGAUUAGAUACCCUGGUAGUCCACGCCCUAAACGAUGUCAACUGGUUGUUGGGGGUUUGACACUCUCAGUAACGAAGCUAACGCGUGAAGUUGACCGCCUGGGGAGUACGGCCGCAAGGUUAAAACUCAAAGGAAUUGACGGGGACCCGCACAAGCGGUGGAUUAUGUGGAUUAAUUCGAUGCAACGCGAAAAACCUUACCUACCCUUGACAUGUCCUGGAGGCCCCUGAGAGGGGGCUGUGCCCGAAAGGGAACGGGAACACAGGUGCUGCAUGGCUGUCGUCAGCUCGUGUCGUGAGAUGUUGGGUUAAGUCCCGCAACGAGCGCAACCCUUGUCAUUAGUUGCUACAUUUAGUUGGGCACUCUAAUGAGACUGCCGGUGACAAACCGGAGGAAGGUGGGGAUGACGUCAAGUCCUCAUGGCCCUUAUGGGUAGGGCUUCACACGUAAUACAAUGGCGCGUACAGAGGGCUGCGAAGGGGCGACCUGGAGCCAAUCCCGAUAAAGCGCGUCGUAGUCCGGAUUGCAGUCUGCAACUCGACUGCAUGAAGUCGGAAUCGCUAGUAAUCGCGGAUCAGCAUGUCGCGGUGAAUACGUUCCCGGGUCUUGUACACACCGCCCGUCACACCAUGGGAGUGGGUUUCACCAGAAGCCGGUCGUCUAACCGCAAGGGGGACGCCGACCACGGUGAGAUUCAUGACUGGGGUGAAGUCGUAACAAGGUAGC
rnacentral:rRNA from 1 species